UCCAGAGUGACCGAAGAGCUAUUGGUGGUGGAAUCACUUCCUUCAGCUCGUUUGCUCAACUUCCGCUUGUCCACAAAAAUUGCCCAUUUGCUUUUUACAUCCUACUGGUGUUUAACCUGGAGUCUUUUGCUAUUUUACGAAGAGUAUUGAAACAUGUCUCUCUGGAGUCAAAUAUUUCAUUUCAGACACCUCCCUUUAUGAUGUCAAUCUAAGGGCUGAGCUAAGGGAAAUAAAUGUGAUUAUUUAAACAUAAGGAUCAUUGAAGUCUUGUGUUCGUGACCCAUAAGAUGACCAGAUGCUUGGAAUAGAGCUUGCUUUAUUUCUUUUCUGUUACUUAGAACUUUUCAAUUAUCAAUGAAAGAACUAACAUAAACAUGUAAAAAUGUUCCCUUUAUCUUUUACAGUAGGUGGCCAAGGAGCUAGAUCACAAAGUAAAGAAUAAGGUUAUGCAUUGAAGACUGUCUAUAUAAAAUAUAAAUGCAAUCAUAAGUAGGAGCAUAAGUUGAAACAGCAAUAUUUUAAUAUAGAAAAUGGAGUAGAACAAACUACAGACUUAAACCUAGG
rnacentral:lncRNA from 1 species